rnacentral:rRNA from 1 species
AUACGUAGGUGGCAAGCGUUAUCCGGAAUUAUUGGGCGUAAAGCGCGCGCAGGCGGUCCUUUAAGUCUGAUGUGAAAUCACGUGGCUCAACCACGUGCGGUCAUUGGAAACUGGAGGACUUGAGUGCAGAAGAGGAAAGUGGAAUUCCAAGUGUAGCGGUGAAAUGCGUAGAGAUUUGGAGGAACACCAGUGGCGAAGGCGACUCUCUGGUCUGUAACUGACGCUGAGGCGCGAAAGCGUGGGGAGCGAACAGGAUUAGAUACCCUGGUAGUCCACGCCGUAAACGAUGAGUGCUAAGUGUUAGAGGGUUUCCGCCCUUUAGUGCUGCAGCAAACGCAUUAAGCACUCCGCCUGGGGAGUACGGUCGCAAGACUGAA